UGCCAGCAGCCGCGGUAAUACGAACUGUGCAAACGUUAUUCGGAAUCACUGGGCUUAAAGGGUGCGUAGGCGGACUUGAAGGUCUGAUGUGAAAGCCCACGGCUCAACCGUGGAAUUGCGUUAGAAACCAUGAGUCUUGAGGAGAUCAGAGGUGAGCGGAACUGAUGGUGGAGCGGUGAAAUGCGUUGAUAUCAUCAGGAACACCGGUGGCGAAAGCGGCUCGCUGGGAUCUUUCUGACGCUGAGGCACGAAAGCUAGGGGAACGAACGGGAUUAGAUA
rnacentral:rRNA from 1 species